rnacentral:rRNA from 1 species
AUUGAACGCUGGCGGCAUGCCUAACACAUGCAAGUCGAACGGGGCAGCAAUGCCUAGUGGCGGACGGGUGAGGAAUACGUAGGAAUCUGCCCCUAAGUGGGGGAUAACCAGGGGAAACCCUGACUAAUACCGCAUGAUCUCUUCGGAGCAAAGAGGGGGACCGCAAGGCCUCUCGCUUCUGGAUGAGCCUACGUCUGAUUAGCUAGUUGGUAGGGUAAAGGCCUACCAAGGCGACGAUCAGUAACUGGUCUGAGAGGAUGAUCAGUCACACCGGAACUGAGACACGGUCCGGACUCCUACGGGAGGCAGCAGUGGGGAAUAUUGGACAAUGGGCGCAAGCCUGAUCCAGCAAUGCCGCGUGUGUGAAGAAGGCCUUCGGGUUGUAAAGCACUUUAGCCUGGAAAGAAAAAACUUUGGUUAAGAGCUAUUAAGUUGGACGUUACCCACAGAAGAAGCACCGGCUAACUCCGUGCCAGCCGCCGCAGUAACAC